AGAGUUUGAUCCUGGCUCAGGACGAACGCUGGCGGCGCGCCUAACACAUGCAAGUCGAACGAGAGAGAGGGAGCUUGCUUCCUCGAUCGAGUGGCGAACGGGUGAGUAACGCGUGAGGAACCUGCCUCAAAGAGGGGGACAACAGUUGGAAACGACUGCUAAUACCGCAUAAGCCCACGGCUCGGCAUCGAGCAGAGGGAAAAGGAGCAAUCCGCUUUGAGAUGGCCUCGCGUCCGAUUAGCUAGUUGGUGAGGUAACGGCCCACCAAGGCGACGAUCGGUAGCCGGACUGAGAGGUUGAACGGCCACAUUGGGACUGAGACACGGCCCAGACUCCUACGGGAGGCAGCAGUGGGGAAUAUUGCACAAUGGGGGAAACCCUGAUGCAGCGACGCCGCGUGGAGGAAGAAGGUCUUCGGAUUGUAAACUCCUGUUGUUGAGGAAGAUAAUGACGGUACUCAACAAGGAAGUGACGGCUAACUACGUGCCAGCAGCCGCGGUAAAACGUAGGUCACAAGCGUUGUCCGGAAUUACUGGGUGUAAAGGGAGCGCAGGCGGGAAGACAAGUUGGAAGUGAAAUCUAUGGGCUCAACCCAUAAACUGCUUUCAAAACUGUUUUUCUUGAGUAGUGCAGAGGUAGGCGGAAUUCCCGGUGUAGCGGUGGAAUGCGUAGAUAUCGGGAGGAACACCAGUGGCGAAGGCGGCCUACUGGGCACCAACUGACGCUGAGGCUCGAAAGUGUGGGUAGCAAACAGGAUUAGAUACCCUGGUAGUCCACACCGUAAACGAUGAUUACUAGGUGUUGGAGGAUUGACCCCUUCAGUGCCGCAGUUAACACAAUAAGUAAUCCACCUGGGGAGUACGACCGCAAGGUUGAAACUCAAAGGAAUUGACGGGGGCCCGCACAAGCAGUGGAGUAU
rnacentral:rRNA from 1 species